AGCUGGGCGAGGGAAGGAGGCUGCUCCAAAAGGCAUUGCUGCAGGGAGCCUCUGGGAGUUCCAGGUGAAGAGAUCUGCCUUGAUCUGGAGACCUCUGCUGAAAGUGAAGACCUCCUAACGAGCCAGACAGCCUUAACAGGAGCUCAGAAGUCUUACACCAAGAGCUGGAAAAGAGGAGCACAAGAGGGGUUUUGUGAAAUACAGCAAAAUCUAAUUACAGCUUGAUUUAAAGCCACAUUUACACAAUGGCUGAGGGGUGAGUUCACUUCCACAAAAACAAACUUGUUGGCUUCCUACUGUGCAUCGGGGAAUGUGAAGAUGCAUGUCCUGGAGAGCA
rnacentral:lncRNA from 1 species